GAUGAAGAACGUAGCGAAAUGCGAUAAGUAAUGUGAAUUGCAGAAUUCAGUGAAUCAUCGAAUCUUUGAACGCACCUUGCGCCCUUUGGCUAUUCCGAAGGGCAUGCCUGUUUGAGUAUCAUGAACACCUCAACUCUCAUGGUUUGCCAUGAUGAGCUUGGACUUUGGGGGUCUUGCCGGCCUAUGGGUCGGCUCCUCUCAAAUUAAUCAGCUUGCCAGUGUUUGGUGGCAUCACAGGUGUGAUAACUAUCUACGCUUGUGGUUUUCCAUCAGGUAAUCUUCAGUGAUGGAGGUUCGCUGGGGCUCAUAAAUGUCUCUCCUCAGUGAGGACAGCUUUUUUGAACGUUUGAUCUCAAAUCAGGUAGGACUACCCGCUGAACUUAAGCAUAUCAAUAAGCGGAGGA
rnacentral:misc_RNA from 1 species